rnacentral:rRNA from 1 species
AGGUAGCGAAAUUCCUUGUCGGGUAAGUUCCGACCUGCACGAAUGGUGUAAUGAUUUGAGCGCUGUCUUGACGGGAGGCCUGGUGAAAUUGUACUACCGGUGAAGAUACCGGUUACCUACAGUAGGACGGAAAGACCCCAUGGAGCUUUACUGUAGCUUGGUAUUGGGUUUUGGCAUUGCAUGUAUAGGAUAGUUGGGAAACUAUGAAGAUAUGGCGCUAGCUGUAUUGGAGUUGUCGGUGGAAUACCAACCAUUCAAUGUCGAAAUUCUAAUCUGUGGUUUGUAGCCACGGAAACAGUGCUAGGUGGGCAGUUUGACUGGGGCGGUCGCCUCCGAAAGAGUAACGGAGGCGUUCAAAGGUUCUCUCAGGUUGGAUGGAAAUCAACCGCAGAGUGCAAUGGCAUAAGAGAGCUUAACUGCGAGACUGACGGGUCGAGCAGGUGCGAAAGCAGGACAUAGUGAUCCGGCGAUUCCGAAUGGAAGGGUCGUCGCUCAACGGAUAAAAGCUACCCUGGGGAUAACAGGCUGAUUUUGCCCGAGAGUCCAUAUCGACGGCAAAGUUUGGCACCUCGAUGUCGGCUCAUCGCAUCCUGGGGCUGGAGAAGGUCCCAAGGGUUGGGCUGUUCGCCCAUUAAAGCGGUACGUGAGCUGGGUUCAGAACGUCGUGAGACAGUUCGGUCCCUAUCCACUGUAGGCGUUAGAAUAUUGAGAAGAUCUGUCCUUAGUACGAGAGGACCGGGAUGGACAAACCUCUGAUGUACCAGUUGUCACGCCAGUGGCACAGCUGGGUAGUCACGUUUGGAACGGAUAACCGCUGAAAGCAUCUAAGCGGGAAACCAGCUUCAAGAUAAGUAUUCUUUAAGACUCCUUCGAGACUAGAAGGUUGAUAGGUUGGGGGUGUAAGAGCUGCGAGGCUUUUAGCUGACCAAUACUAAUAAGUCAAAGUUUUAACCUA